rnacentral:lncRNA from 1 species
AUUGAUUGUAAAUCACUUGUGUUUUUGGAUGUACCAACGAGGUGGAAUUCCACAUAUUUGAUGUUGGAAGCCGCUUUAAAAUUUCAAAAAGAUUUUGAAAGGUUAGAGAAGGAUGAUUUGCAGUAUGUAAAUUAUUUUCAAGAGUAUGAUGAUUGUAGAAGGAAUGGGUCUCCUACAACUUUUGAUUGGGAAAAUGCUUCUAUUUUUGUACAGUUCCUUAAAGGCUUUUAUGAUAUAACUUUGAAGUUCGAUACUUCAAUGCAUGUUAGAUAUAAUGUUUAUCUUCAUGAAGUAUGUUCACUUGUAACUGAAUUGGAACAAUUGAGUUCAAGUGGUGAUGUUCUUUUGGGUGAAAUGGCUACUAACAUGAAGAAAAGUUUGACAAGUACUGGGGAAAAAUGGAAAAUGUUAAUCAAUUGUUGUUGAUUGCUACUAUACUUGAUCCACGAUAUAAAUUGUCGUAUGCUGAUUUUUGUUUUGGUGAUAUUUAUGAUGAUAAGGAAGUUGCUUGUAAUAUGAUAAAGAUUUUGAAAGAUAACUUGAUGUCUAUUUAUGAUUGGUCUGUGAGAUUUGAAACAAGAUUUGAAAGCAAUCAAGUAUGUAGUGAUUUGAAUUCUUCAAGUGAGGUUUCUUCUACAAAAGAAAGUCCCACUUCACGUGUGUCUCUUUCUCGUGUUUCUAGCUUUAAGAGAACCCAAGUAGCAAAAGAUUUAGUUGAAUUCAUAAAU